rnacentral:rRNA from 1 species
AGGGUUUGAUCAUGGCUCAGAACGUACGCUGGCGGCACGCCUAACACAUGCAAGUCGAACGAAGUAGCAAUACUUAGUGGCAGACGGGUGAGUAACAUGUAGGUAUCUACCCUUUGGCCUGGAAUAACACGAGGAAACUUGUGCUAAUACCGGAUAAGUCUUUACGGAGAAAGCUUUAUGCACCAUUGGAUGAGCCUGCACUUGAUUAGUUUGUUGGUAGGGUAAUGGCCUACCAAGACUUUGAUCAAUAGCUGAUUUGAGAGGAUGAUCAGCCACAUUGGGACUGAGACACGGCCCAAACUCCUACGGGAGGCAGCAGUGGGGAAUCUUGCACAAUGGAGGAAACUCUGAUGCAGCGAUGCCGCGUGAGUGAAGAAGGCCCUUGGGUUGUAAAGCUCUUUCGUCGGGGAAGAAAAUGACUGUACCCGAAUAAGAAGGUCCGGCUAACUUCGUGCCAGCAGCCGCGGUAAUACGAAGGGACCUAGCGUAGUUCGGAAUUACUGGGCUUAAAGAGUUCGUAGGUGGUUGAAAAAGUUGGUGGUGAAAUCCCAGAGCUUAACUCUGGAACUGCCAUCAAAACUUUUCAGCUAGAGUUGAUAGAGGAAAGCAGAAUUUCUAGUGUAGAGGUGAAAUUCGUAGAUAUUAGAAAGAAUACCAAUUGCGAAGGCAGCUUUCUGGAUCAUUACUGACACUGAGGAACGAAAGCAUGGGUAGCGAAGAGGAUUAGAUACCCUCGUAGUCCAUGCCGUAAACGAUGUGUGUUAGACGUUGGAAAUUUAUUUUCAGUGUCGCAGCGAAAGCGAUAAACACACCGCCUGGGGAGUACGACCGCAAGGUUAAAACUCAAAUGAAUUGACGGGGACCCGCACAAGUAGUGGAGCAUGUGGUUUAAUUCGAAGAUACGCGCAGAACCUUACCAACACUUGACAUGUUCGUCGCGACUUUAAGAGAUUAAAGUUUUCGGUUCGGCCGGACGAAACACAGGUGCUGCAUGGCUGUCGUCAGCUCGUGUCGUGAGAUGUUGGGUUAAGUCCCGCAACGAGCGCAACCCUCACUUUUAGUUGCCAUCAUUUAGUUGGGCACUCUGAAAGAACUGCCAGUGAUAAGCUGGAGGAAGGUGGGGAUGACGUCAAGUCCUCAUGGCCCUUACGUGUUGGGCUACACACGUGCUACAAUGGUAUCUACAACAGGAAGCAAAACGGCGACGUUAAGCAAAUCCUUAAAAGAUACCUCAGUUCGGAUUGUACUCUGCAACUCGAGUACAUGAAGCUGGAAUUACUAGUAAUCGUGGAUCAGCGUGCCACGGUGAAUGCGUUCCCGGGUCUUGUACACACCGCCCGUCACACCAUGGGAGUUGGUUCUACCUUAAGGCAAGGUUUAAAACCCUUGACCACGGUAUAGUCAGCGACUGGGGUGAAGUCGUAACAAGGUAACCGUA